rnacentral:rRNA from 1 species
AUGGAUGUUUAAGUCAGUUGUGAAAGUUUGCGGCUCAACCGUAAAAUUGCAGUUGAUACUGGAUAUCUUGAGUGCAGUUGAGGCAGGCGGAAUUCGUGGUGUAGCGGUGAAAUGCUUAGAUAUCACGAAGAACUCCGAUUGCGAAGGCAGCCUGCUAAGCUGCAACUGACAUUGAGGCUCGAAAGUGUGGGUAUCAAACAGGAUUAGAUACCCUGGUAGUCCACACGGUAAACGAUGAAUACUCGCUGUUUGCGAUAUACGGCAAGCGGCCAAGCGAAAGCGUUAAGUAUUCCACCUGGGGAGUACGCCGGCAACGGUGAAACUCAAAGGAAUUGACGGGGGCCCGCACAAGCGGAGGAACAUGUGGUUUAAUUCGAUGAUACGCGAGGAACCUUACCCGGGCUUAAAUUGCAGAUGAAUUACGGUGAAAGCCGUAAGCCGCAAGGCAUCUGUGAAGGUGCUGCAUGGUUGUCGUCAGCUCGUGCCGUGAGGUGUCGGCUUAAGUGCCAUAACGAGCGCAACCCUUGUUGUCAGUUACUAACAGGUUCUGCUGAGGACUCUGACAAGACUGCCAUCGUAAGAUGUGAGGAAGGUGGGGAUGACGUCAAAUCAGCACGGCCCCUACGUCCGGGGCUACACACGUGUUACAAUGGGGGGUACAGAGGGCCGCUACCACGCGAGUGGAUGCCAAUCCCAAAAACCUCUCUCAGUUCGGACUGGAGUCUGCAACCCGACUCCACGAAGCUGGAUUCGCUAGUAAUCGCGCAUCAGCC